AAACAAAGUUAGCGUGCUACAAUAUCGGACAGUAGAAACCAACCAGAAAGUUCGGAAAAUUGUCUGAAUCCUCCUUUGGCCACGACUGCCGACACAAGCAAGAAAACACUCAAACGUAAACAGUCAACAAGAAAACAGUCAGCAAGAAAACAGUCAACACCAAACCGGUUAACAAGAAAACAGUCAACAUCAAAACAGUCAACAAGAAAACAGUCAACCAUAAUGAGUCAACAAGAAAACAGUCAACCAAAAACAGUCAACAGGAAAAUAGUCAACAAGAAAACAGUCAACCAUAAUCAGUCAGCAAGAAAACAGUCAACAAGAAAACAGUCAACCAUAAUGAGUCAACAAGAAAACAGUCAACCAAAAACAGUCAACAGGAAAAUAGUCAACAAGAAAACAGUCAACCAUAAUCAGUCAGCAAGAAAACAGUCAACAAGAAAACAGUCAACAAGAAAACAGUCAACCAUAAACAGUCAACAAGAAAACAGUCAACAUCAAAGCAGUCAACAAGAAAACAGUCAACAAGAAAACAGUCAACACCAAAACAGUCAACCAUAAACAGUCAACAAGAAAACAGUCAACAUCAAAGCAGUCAACAAGAAAACAGUCAACAAGAAAACAGUCAACCAUAAACAGUCAACAAGAAAACAGUCAACAUCAAAGCAGUCAACAAGAAAACAGUCAACAAGAAAACAGUCAACACCAAAACAGUCAACCAUAAACAGUCAACAAGAAAACAGUCAACAUCAAAGCAGUCAACAAGAAAACAGUCAACAAGAAAACAGUCAACCAUAAUCAGUCAGCAAGAAAACAGUCAACAAGAAAACAGUCAACAAGAAAACAGUCAACAAGAAAACAGCCAGCAAGAAAACAGUCAACAAGAAAACAGUCAACAAGAAAACAGCCAGCAAGAAAACAGUCAGCAUCAAAACAGUCAACACCAAAACAGUCAACCAUAAACAGUCAACAAGAAAACAGUCAACCAUAAACAGUCAACAAGAAAACAGUCAACAAGAAAACAGUCAACCAUAAUGAGUCAACAAGAAAACAGUCAACCAUAAUGAGUCAACAAGAAAACAGUCAACCAUAAUCAGUCAGCAAGAAAACAG